UACGGAGGGUGCAAGCGUUAUCCGGAUUUACUGGGUUUAAAGGGUGCGUAGGCGGUCAGGUAAGUCCGUGGUGAAAUCUCUGAGCUUAACUCAGAAACUGCCAUGGAUACUAUUUGUCUUGAAUACUGUGGAGGUAAGCGGAAUAUGUCAUGUAGCGGUGAAAUGCUUAGAUAUGACAUGGAACACCAAUUGCGAAGGCAGCUUACUACACAGUUAUUGACGCUGAGGCACGAAAGCGUGGGGAUCAAACAGG
rnacentral:rRNA from 1 species